AUGAUGGAUGAUGAAAAAAAUCAUUCGGAUUCCCAAUGAUUUACCAUGAUCUUACAACCAGCUACUUCUGACUCAU